rnacentral:lncRNA from 1 species
AACACGUCGGAAAGAGAACUGUUCGAUAAUAUAAGCUUAUGAAGCAAAUUCAUAAUAUUCAAUGCGAGUACGUACACUGGAUGCUUCACAUAUCAUAAACAUUAUACGUACUCGAUCGAUCUCUAGUAGGCUAGCUAAGUACAGCAAGCAUGGAAUGAAACAGUCUGAUGUAGGUAACUGAUCCGUACAACAGUGACAAAACAAGGCAGAGAUAUAACAGCUCUUAUUGUUACAUACAUAUCAUGAAACUAAAACACUAAUGAUUCAUAUCAGUUGGGAGAUGGAGGUCGGUGUGGUGGUUUUUCUGGGGCAGUUCGAGGCUUCUUUGCGAGAGUACUUGGAGGCUUUAAUUUCCGGGGUGGCUUGUGUGGUGAACCUUUGGCAACAUCCACUGCAUUCUGUGCGAGGUGACGAUCGUGAUGUGGUGGAUGCUCUCCCUUACCCUUUGGUGGCCUGUGUUCCGGGAAUGGCUUGUGAUCAUCAUUCUUUUCCAGUAGGGUUGGCGGCUUGUGUUUUGGGGGUGACUUCUUUCCUUUAGGAGACUUAUCAUCUACCUCGGUGGAAGAGGACUCUAGCAAACGGCGUCCGGUGUUUUGUUCAUGAGGUGGUUUGUGCUUUGGUGGUGACUUCUCACCCUUGUGAGGUCCGUUACCUGGAUGUCCUGGUUUUCCAUCAGUUUCUAACAAGCGGUGUUGAUGCGGUGGCUUCUCUCCCUUGUGAGGCUCAUUGUGCUCUUGCGGUGGCUUCUCUCCCUUGGAAGGUUUGCCCUCCACCUCCAACAAUUGGUGUUCAUGUGGUGGCUUGUGUUUUGGUGGUGGUUUCUCUCCCUUAUGAGGCUCAUUGUGCUCUUGCGGCGGCUUCUCUCCCUUUGAAGGUUUUCCCUCCACCUCCAACAAUUGGUGUUCAUGCGGUGGCUUGUGCUUUCUCUCCCUUAUGAGGCCCAUUGUGCUCUUGUGGUGGCUUCUCUCCCUUGGAAGGUUUGCCAUCCAACUCUAACAAUUGGUGUUCAUGAGGUGGCUUGUGCUUUGGUGGUGGCUUCUCUCCCUUGUGCUCAUGAGGCAGCUUUUCUCCUUUCGAAGGUUUGUCGUCAGUUUCCAACAAACGGUGCUCGUGAGGUGGCUUGUGCUCCUGUGGUGGCUUCUCUCCCUUACCCUUUGGAGGUUGAUCACGAGGGGUUGAUGGCUUGUGCUCGGGGAGUGGCUCGUUCUUAUGUUUAGGGGGUUGGGGUGACUUCUGCAGAUGAGAUACUUCGACCAUAGGAGGCUUGUGAAUGGGUGAUUUGUGGUGGCCUGAGGGAUGGGUAGGAGGCUUGUGAAUCGUUGGUUUGCGGUGAUCAUCGUGCUGAUCAGCAAGAGUGGGAGAAGUGGUAGUGAAAACCACCACUCCAAGAAGAAACAGAAGCAGAUAGUUGGAAGGCAUUGUGUAUGUUUUGGGAUGGUUUGGGAAAACUAGAGAGAGAGUGGCAAUUUAUAGUGAUGGGUAACUCUCACAAAUGCUGUCACGAGUGAUGUCAUUGUGUAUACUGUUACAAUUUACGAAAGGCAUUGGGUCCUAUAUAUGUGUCGAUCGAGUUGAAAAGUUUGACAACUUUGAUGUUCACACAACAAGGAACCUUAAUGAAGUUUGCACGAUGGGUGUGUUCACAACUCACAUGCCAUGCUUAAUCUGUGGCAUAGUACACUCACUCUCUUCCAUAAUUGAUAUAUAGCAGUAUUGUCUUUAUUUAGUACCAUAAUCUAUCCUAGCUAUAGUGGCCAACACUACCUUUCCCACUUAGGUACUUGUAAUUUAUGAAUGUAGUUAGUACGUACUAACUACGACACAUGAUUACUCUAGCCCAGAAUGAACGAGAAUGUUGUUCUUGAUUAAGUGAAGAAAUUCAACCAGAGGAUUUCAUUUAUAUAUACAAUAUGAUAAUAUUCAAUAUAUCUUAAAUAUAGUGCAUGUCCUAUCUCCAAAGUUUUUUCUUUCCCCCUAAAAAACAGAGAUAAGAGAGGCAUAAAACUUCAUUACCACCCGUAUUAUUAAAGAAAAAAGAGAUACAGUAAGAGAAAGAGGAAGACAAAGUUAAAACCUCCAUAGGUAACUAAAACACAUAAUAAAUAAAAAUUAUCUAACAAAAACGGAACUGAGAAAGAUUCAAAUAGUCACUGAUGCAAACCGAUAUAAUAAAAGAAGAAAUCUCAUCCCACCAAACUAAAUAUGUUAAAGUGAUACCAUGAUUUGCUAAUAAGCCAGCAACUAUGUUACCUUCGCGAAAGAUAGGUGAGGAUCUGAAAUGCAUUUGAGAAAUGCGGCUCAAAUAAUUCCACCAUUGUACUCUACCUCUAAAGGUUAAUUUGGCCAAGAAACACCGAUAUAUACCUUUAACUAAAAGAUUUGGUGAGUUUCGAUUAUGAGUGCAUGUGGUGGGGUCUGUGUGUGAAAGCAUAUGUGGUGGGGUGUGUUGUAUUUGAGUCUGUGGUGGUGUUUAGGAUUCUUUAAAGUUUUUUGACAUACUCAUCGUCCUGGACCAUUUGCAUAAGUUCCAUCUAAUAUGUGAUUUUGCGUUUCACUAUUUUUGGUCGACACUUUGGCGUUUCACUAUUUGCAUCCCCUUAUUUUGUUAAUCUAUCUUGCAUAUAUAUAUUUGCCGAAGUUUGGUGGUUUAUUGCUUUUACUUUACUUUAAUUUGUUCUUUUACCAUAUUGUGGAGAAAGCAAUGAAGUCGACUGAAAUCAAAUCGGGACAAAUCCCACACAUGUGAGAUAAGAUAGUGAAUGUCCCUGCCGACAUCUGUUCGCUCUCAAUAUCCAACGAUUUGUUGCUUAAUUUAAAUCGCUCCGAGGUAUAAGAACAAUUGUAUCGAAUUUCUCGUAUGGACUUUCAUUCUUCUCAAAAUAUUUGAGAAGGUAACCAAGUUGCAGAUACAUUGGUAAAUGAAAGAUAAAUUCAUCGGGUUUGAUAUGGUGGGACUUGUCUUCGAAUUUUGUCAUCUCUCUUUAUAAUAGUACGUGAUUGGUUGGGGCAUCCCAUCUUUCUUUUAUGUUUGCCUUCUUUAUUUUGUUGCGAGUUAUAGAUUUGUUCUUUAUUUUCGGUGAGAGUAGAGUUAGGUCCCUUCUAUGAUAUGGUAUUUUUUUUUUUCAAUAAACUACCCUCGUUUCAUCAAAAAUUCUUCUGUACAUUUCAGCCUUUGAAUAUGAAAUAAAAAGGUUUGUAGGAGCAGAAAUAGAAAUUUUAUUAACACAUCCCUAAAUACUAGAUACACAUCUCAUAUUUAAUACACCACCAGUUAGAUUUAUUAUUUUAAUAUUUUACUAGAUACACAUCACUAAACUUCUUUUUUUUUAAUUUUUUAAAAUAUUUUUUAUGAAAAUGUCAUUCCAUUUAAAUUAGAGCAAACAGUACAAAGAUGAAGUACCCCAAUGGGGUCGUCAGAAAACAUCGUCUUGCAUAAUUGCAAAACCUAUACUAGAUAAAGCAUAAGCUAUGAAAUCCUAAGUACACCCACUUUAUUCGGUUAAGCACUUUUAUUUUACAAGUACACUAGGUUUCAAAGAAAAAAAUCAAGCUUCCACGAAAAAACUAGUUACCUGACCUAAACAAAGAUUAAAUCUUUUUCGGAUUCGGAGUGCCAGACGCACUCCCUUCAGCAGUUUGAGGCAAAACACUCUCAAUCACUCUCACCACUAGAGCUUCAGAGCCAUCAGUUUCCUUCCCUAACUCACUAGUCGAACUAGAGCCUUCGAAAGUGACCAUCUCAAAAUCUGCCUUGUCACUCACCUUAGCAGGAUUUUUGAUCACACCCUCAUCAGAACUAGCUGCUUCUUUGCUCCCCUUGCUACUAGAGGAGUUAGUUUUCUUGUGGGUCUUCCACUUUUUUGGUUGAGCCGCCGUUGCCAGCUUCAGCUCCUCCUUGGAACAAUUUUUGCUUCCAAACGGACGUCCCAGCUUCUUCUUUUUCUGGGGAGAAAUAAUCAGCUUCCCCUUGUCAUGAGCCAAAGUAAUCCCAACAUUCACAAUAUCCAAGGAUGGUUCGAAUUCGGGGAACUUCAGGUACCUUUUCCUAGUCCUCUCGCAUUCCACGCCACUACGCUUCUUACCAAUGAUCUUGUUCAGCACUUCCUUGUCCAGCAACAUCGGUAUCACCUUUGAGGUCAUACCAAUCGCCACCACUUCCUUUCCAGCCUUCGGCCUAGUCUUCUCAGCUCCUAUCAAAACCUUUCCGGCCACUAUAUUCUAUAUAAUAGCGGCAACAUGAACUUUGGUUGUUGUAGCAUUAGAUGACACUUCCAGAGCUCUAGACUUAUUUAUAGGGGAGAGAACUGAACUCUCACUACCCCUAGAUGUACUAGAACGCUGUGAGUGUGAAUUGGUAGGUGACAAAACCCUAGCCACCUUUGCUUUCGGCGCAGCACGUCCAAUUGGCUUCGAGAAUAGUGACAAAUGACUCAUCGCUCCCACCAGCGGAGCUUUCAGCGCCUCCCUCUCCUUCUAAAUCAGAUUAUCACACCCCAUUGCAUCAUGAAUGAACAAUCCACACAAUCGACAAAAACCCUUCACCUUAUCAAAGGUGAGAUCCACCUCUGCCACUCUUCCAUCCAUCUCGAACUCAAUUCCUGCCAAACUCGGGUGCGCCUUCGCACAUCAAACUCCAGUCUGAUCCUUUGAACCUCUUCCUUUCUCUUCAGCGUGGUCUGAUCAAAUCGAAUAACUUGACCUAACCCAGAUCCCACCAUAUUUAAGGCUUUAGGGUUCCUCAAAUUAUGAAUAAGGCCUUACCGCCACCCAUGUCUCUAAUGUAUUCAGAGGGACAGCAGCCAGAUCUCCCCUCCCAUCAUACAACCCUAACACCAACAUGGUGUUUCUGUAGUGCCAGGGUCCUCCAUGCAAGACUCAGUUUCGUUCUGCAACACGCUCGAAAUGGAAGACAAACCGGUUGCCUGCAUCCGACAUCGAGAGGCCUCUCUUCAUUCUCCAGAUCGUCGAGAUCGUCCCUUUGAAUCCUGAAAAUUUUGCUUUUGGGCCCAGAAGGCAUCCCAUCAGAUAUGCAUGGUCUUCCUGAACAGCUCCGCCUCUCUCAACACCGAUCUUGAUGCGAGAAGAGUUAGAGAGAAGUAGUCUAGAUGAAGUGGCUUGAAAAGCCGAUCCCAAAGAUUCAAUAGCAGCGGCCAUGGAUCGAGUUUGUUUUUCGACAAAGGAGACGAAACCCACAUCACUAAACUUCUUAAAAUACCCUUAGUGACAAUACACAACCUAUUCUCUAAAUACACAUCCCUAUUUUAAAUUUACUAUUCAAUCGUUUUCGGGAAAAAAAAAAAAACUUUUUCUCAAUUGAAGCUAUAACAUUCACUUACAUGACUAGAAGAAUUUCAUAAUAAGAUUUUCUCAAACAGUUUCAUCUUUCCUCAAACUGUUACAUCUUGUUAAGAGCUUCCUCGACUAAUUUUCUCUUAUGGCCAGGUUUUCCUUGACAAAAUUUCUUCUCAAGGAUCCUUUUACUCGUAUCAAUUUCAAAAAUACUUGAAAUGCUUGCACCUACCGAGUAAAAAUAAAACAAAACAAGACAAUACAUCAUCAAAGUCCUUAAUGAAACUUUCAGCAUGAGAAUGCUCGGUCUUGCGUAAGCGUAAUACUAAAUUAAUAGAUUAUUAAAAAUCAUUGCAUAACAUUCAUAUAUGUCAAAAAUAUUGCAUUGGUACCCAGCUCAAGCUAAAAAUUAAAAAUUUGAUAUUGAAACAUCUCAACUAGAUUUCUUUAUUUUUAUAUAAAUGUCUCAUUUGAUAAUUUUACGUAGGAAAAUGAUUCUUGGCCUUAAUAAGGCCUAAGAUUUAUGGCCUUAAUCUUUAGUGGCAUGCUAUGUCACCUAGACACAUCACCAAUUAAAAAGAUUAUGCCAUGUCAUUCUUAAGCAAAAACACAAUUUUAUCCUUAUAAAUCCAAUGACUUUUGAUUAUUUUGUCUUUUUAUUAAGAGAAAAAAAUUGAUUUGUCUUUCUUUUAUAAUUAAAAAAUAUAUAUUUGUAGCAUUUUCUUUCUCUUUUUCUUUUCAUCACUAUCAUGCUUAGAUUAAACGUAACAUAUAGUGUGAAAAUACAUAUAUUUUGAUGAGAAUAUACUUAAUCAAAAACACGAAUUCUUAUGAAAUAUAUAUACAUAUAUAAUUUGUCUAAGAAAAAAUAAUUUGUCCAGGAAUUUUUUUACAUAUAUAUAUAUAUAUAAUUCGUCCAAAAUAAAGUGUGUGUGUGUCUAUAUAUAUAUAUAUAUAUAUAUAUAUAUAUAUAUAUAAUCAUCCAAAAGAAAUUCGAUAGAGAUUACCUAUUUUAUUUAUUUUAAAAAUUCGAUACAUAAUAUAGCUUAUAUAUAGAUAUCACAAAGAUAGAAGGAAUUUAAGAAAUUUACCAAGUUUGAUUUAUGGUAUAAAAGCCUAAUUUGGUAUGAUUAUUAACUUGGUUAUUAUUAUUAAUAAAUUAACCAAAUUUGGUAUAUAUGCAUUCAUAUUAAAAGGGUAAGAAAAUAUUCUAUAUUAGUAUGUAGCAUCCAUUAAUUAUUAAAGUUAAGAUUGUAUUUUUACUUUUGAAUGAAAUGACAUGAUUUAUUAAAUUGAUGAUGUGUCUAUGUAACAUGACAUGACAUGCUACAUAGGAUUAAGACCAUAAAUUUUAGGCCUUAUUAAGGCCCUCUAGCACUACCCUUUUACGUAUCUACAAAGUCUUAUAUAAUUUGUAUAAAAAAAGAUAUGUGUAUCUAACAAUUAGAGUUGUGUGAAUAAAAUUUAUCGAGCAGAAAAUAUCUCGUCCCGAAAUAAAAAUGGAAUUUGACUUCCACCACUCACCAAGCCCAACUAAAACCUGCCAACACUUUCCUUUUUUGCACGUCAUGAUUUUGUUUUUUCUCUGUGUCCCUCCCCUCAAAUAUUUUGGGAAAAUUGAUUCGUUUUUUCUUUUCUUUAUUAUUAUCGUGAUUAUCCUUCUACCAAUAUUACUCUCCCAUCAGUCCCAUGCAUGCAGCAUGCAGCUACGUACCUUCUUCUUCUUUUGGUUGUUUCUAAUAACUUCACUUCAUAUUGGAAAAGUAAAUAUAUAGAAGCUAAUUCAUAAUAUUCAAAGUGAGUACACUGGAUGUUUACAUAAGAACAGCAUAGUACGUACUCGAUCACUAGUAGGCUAAGCUAAUACAAUAUGGAAGUAAACAGAGUCUGGUAUAACUCCAUAGACCAGUGAAACAUGAAAGAAGGGAUAUAGCUAGCAGCUCUUAUUUUACAAAUAUCUCAUGAAAGUAGCAAACUAAUGAUGAGCUGAUCGAUGAUCAGUAGGGAGAUGGAGGUUUGUGAGCUGGCUUGUGAGGGGAAGUCGGAGGCUUCUUUGCAAGAGUACUUGGAGGUUUCAAUUUCCGGGGUGGCUUGUGUUUUGGGUGUCUAUCAUCCUCCUUUGCAUUCUCUGCGAGGUGACGAUCGUGAUGUGGUGGAUGCUCUCCCUUACCCUUUGGUGGCUUGUGUUCCGGGUAUGGCUUGUGAUCAUCAUUUUUUUCCAGUAGGGUUGGCGGCUUGUGUUUUGGGGGUGACUUCUUUCCUUUAGGAGACUUACCAUCUAACUCGGUGGAAGAAGACUCUAACAAAUGGCGUCCGGUGUUUUGUUCAUGAGGUGGUUUGUGCUUUGGUGGUGACUUCUCACCCUUGUGAGGUUCAUUACCUGGAUGUCCUGGUUUGUGCUCCGGUGGUGGUUUCUCUCCCUUCUUGGGCUCAUUGUGAUGUUGUGGUGGCUUCUCUCCCUUGGAUGGUUUCCCAUCAGUCUCUAAUAAGCGGUGUUCAUGAUGAGGUGGCUUGUGCUUCUGUGGUGGCUUCUCUCCCUUAUGCUCAUUGUGCUCUUGUGGUGGCUUCUCUCCCUUGGAUGGUUUUCCAUCUAACUCCAUCAACUGGUGUUCAUGAGGUGGGUUAUGCUUUGGUGGUGGCUUCUCUCCCUUGGAGGGUUUUCCAUCCAACUCCAACAAUUGAUGUUCAUGAGGUGGUUUGUGUUUCGGUGGUGAAUUCUUACCCUUUGGUGGCUUACCAUCCAACUCUGAGGAAGAAGACUCUAACAAACGACGUCCAACGUUUUGUUCAUGGGGAGGUUUGUGCUCAUGACCCUUGUGAGGUUGCUCACCUUGUUUGUGCUCCGGUGGUGGCUUCUCUCCCUUCUUAGGCUCAUUGUGAUGUUGUGGUGUCUUCUCGCCCUUAGAAGGUUUUCCAUCUGUCUCUAACAACCGGUGCUCAUGAGGUGGCUUGUGCUCUGGUGGCGGCUUCUCUCCCUUACCCUUUGGAGGUUGAUCACGAGGGGUUGAUGGCUUGUGCUCGGGGAGUGGCUCGUUCUUAUGUUUAGGGGGUUGGGGUGACUUCGGCAGAUGAGAGACUUCGACCAUGGGAGGCUUGUGAAUGGGUGGUUUGUGGUGGCCUGAGGGAUGGGUAGGAGGCUUGUGAAUCGGUGGUUUGCGGUG